rnacentral:lncRNA from 1 species
CGCGGUCACACAGGAAAGGGGCGGAGCCGGCGCCUGGACCGGUAGUGUAGUUUUGCGGUGCACGCUGGGAAAACAAGAAAAAUCGGAGAGAGCCCUUUGGCGGAAGUUGACUAGAUGGCGGGGAAGGCCCGGGAUCGCGGCUGCUUUGUUGUGCUUCUUAGUGCAUUACACAGGUCUGGCGUCCCCGUCGGACCCUCUCACACAAGGUGACUCACUUCCUUUUCCGGGUGCUGGAUGAAGCCUCCACCAGACACAGAGCCCUCUGGAGACUGCAUCCGGGUCAAAGGGCACAGAGCACAGAGGCCGCCUCACCUGGAGACAGCGAAGGAAUCCGGCCUUCUUCAAAGAGGCCGUCAGAGAAGAGGCUUGGGAAGAGGAAGGAAGGCAGGAAAUUGGCAGGCGACAGGAAAUGGAAAGGGGAUUCGUGAGAUGCAUUCCUACAACACAGCCUGGGUGGAAGCGUGGGUGCCUCACUCCUGGACCGGGGCUGGACGGACCAGACUGUCCAGAGUGCCAAGUCUUUGGAAAAUUGGGGUCUGGAGGCCAGGCAAAGAAGAGAGGCUCAAAAUGUCACCGCACCGGGCCACCAGACUCUCACCUCAGGGCAGGCAGGGUGUGCGCUACGGAGGGACGAGAGGAACGGAGCACCUUAAACAAACUUCCUGUGCAACUCAAAACUUGAUUUCCAAAACAAUCGGGACUUGAGUUUUCACCGCCACUAACCGAGAAGUGAAUCUGUCAAGGGCCACCCCGUCCCUUAGCUCCUCCACCUGCUGCUCACGUGGCCCGUGUCUUCCUUGAGCCCACUUCUGGAAUUCUUGCCAACAUCAGGCUAGACUUCGCUCCCACAGGCUCCCUGUUUUCAUCCCCGUCCGGGGCAUCCCUGCCACUGCUAACCCUGUCUCUUCACUCAGCUCCAAUUUUCCUUGUUGCGCUUUGUGCCCCCGGGGCUGAGGUGGCUCCUCACCCCUCCUCUGAUCCUGGCUGUACCCCAACUUCUCAUCCUCACCUGCACUGCUCAGACCAUCUGCUUCUGAAAUCACGCUCUUCCUUUCUCAAUCUGCCAUUCCUCAAACUUCCUCACUCUACACCGGAAGUCUGGUCAGGCCUUUGGGAGCGCUCAGAAAAAUGUUCUAAAAUUUAGCUGAAAAUACACGUGGCUGAAGGGAACAGUUAACUAUCCUAGGAAAACAUCUCUGGUUCCUUCAAGUGACACCACUCCCAGCUGCCGCUGAAACUACUGCAUUUUGUUGCCUACUCUGCUACCAGAAGGAAGUACUAUUCUCCACUGCUUAGUGAAAAUACAGAUGUAAACUUUUCCCUGUCCAAGUUCCCAAGGCCUGAAUUCUGUUUCUGGGUUCAUCAGGUUAAGAAGCCCCGCAUAAGACAAGCUACCCUUUCUUAGCCCCACAUAAAUGAGCUGAGUACAUCCACUGAAACUACAUACAGAUUUAUAUCCUUUUAAAAUCAGCCUCUGGCAGGAGUAGAGAUCUCCUUCCAAUUUUAAAGUGUUAAACUAAAGCCUAGUUCUCUGAUCACCGGGCCCUCGGUCUCUCUCCCUUCUCGCACUGCUCCUUGGUGUCUCCACAGCUAACCCACCCCGAGGCCCGGCACCCCGGGGCCUGCCUGCCGACCGUCACCACUGCCCCAUGCACACCACAGCCCUGCGGUGCCAGCCAUGCUCCCGGUCGCGGUGCAGCAGAGCCACAGCCUCAAGCGGCCCCGUGGGGACAGCCCUGUUCCAAGCCCACUUUCACCCUGAAAACAUGCCCUUGCCCCACCUGGCACCUCCGUGCAGUCUCUUAGAAGCACAGGUCAGCCGCCCACCCAUAAACCACGCUCCGUGUUUGGGGUUCCCCUCAACGCCGCCUCUCCCACCGAGACCCUCCUCGUCCGUGUCAGCCCGCCCGCCGGGGCCCUUGGAAGCCGAGCGGCCUUCACUCUAAGACUCCUGCUGUGCCCUUCCUAUUACAGACACUGCUCCGUCGACUCAGGUAGGGACUUGGUCGCUAACGAGGAGCCGUACCUAGCGUGUACACCACAGUAUUCAGAACAAAGAGAGGCCCAGAGGGAAGCCCGACCUCAUGACCGCUUCUAUUCACAUAACUCCUACACGCAGGACUGUGAUGUAUCCCAGACGAGAAACCACAGCCCUGUGCUGCGCUGUACAAGCAGGGAAACGGCGGCGCUGCGUGAACACGGAGCAGGGUACAGAAGACGGUCACAAGUCCGAGGGGUGGAUCCGCAGUCCGAAAUAUGCACUUCCGUCGUAAGUCUGCACAGUCAUCAAACAGGUAGGCCUUCGAACGAGGUACUCAGGUGCCAGCCCAAAACACAAACAAAAGACUUAAAAGACUAACUUACUGAGUACUUGCUGCAUGCUGGGCGUAUGUUUUGCAAUUGUUUCCGGCGGAACUGACACAGGCCAGUUGCUCAGGGUCCCAGUGCUACUAAGUGAUUAAAAAAAAAGAGAUUUGAGUGGAGCCAGGCUGACUGUACAGUUAACCAGUCCACAGCACCCUCUCUGGUGUGAAACACUGGUAGUUUGGUACAGGAAUUAAAUGUCCAUUUUCCCCUAAAUAUAAGGAUUCCCAGUUUUCCCAAAUAGUGAUGAGUGGCUAGGGAAAGUCUUCCUUUGAAGCACUUGCCCUGUCCAAAACCACGGCACAACAAAUCCUGGAAUCUGACCUGUCUGGUAUGGUGUGAUGGUAGUAUAAGAGCUACAUUUUAUUUUUUAUUUUAUUUAUUUAUUUUGGUACUAGGGAUUGAACUCAGGACCUUGCACUUGCAAGGGAGACAGCAGAACCACUGAGCUAAAUCCCCAGCCCUAUUUUUUAAUUUUCUAAACAUGGAUCAUCAGUGUUUUGAAAAAAAAACAAAGUUGAAGGACAUACACCCUCCAAUUUCAAAAUCUACUAAAAUAUUACAGUAAUCAUGUGUUACGUACCGGCAUAAGCACAGGUAAGUGGGACAGAACAAUCUGUGGGGGGAGAGCAUGUGACAGGAGGGUGGAGGGGACAGGAAAGGAGAAGAGAACAAAAUCCUUAUGCUUUAUUAUCAACUCACUGUCAACAAUGCUGACCACCACCAACAGGGGAAAGAACAGUCUUUUCAACAAUCAUGCUGGAACAACUGCACACCCACACACAAAAGGGUUAAUAUAAAUCUACCUCAUACCAUCAGCAGAAAUCAACUCAAAAUGAGCAAAAGAUCUAAAAGAACUAAGUAUAAAAUUCUUAGAAGGAAAUAUAGGUUUAAAUCAUUAAGACUUUGGGUUAAUACUUUCUAAAAUAUGACAAAGGACAAACCAAAGAAAAAAUAGAAAACAGAGACACUGGACUCUAUCAAAAUAAAAAGCAUUUUAUGUUUCAAAG